rnacentral:rRNA from 1 species
AGUGAACGCUGGCGGUAGGCCUAACACAUGCAAGUCGAACGGCAGCACAGUAAGAGCUUGCUCUUACGGGUGGCGAGUGGCGGACGGGUGAGGAAUACAUCGUAAUCUACUUUUUCGUGGGGGAUAACGUAGGGAAACUUACGCUAAUACCGCAUACGACCUACGUGUGAAAGCAGGGGAUCUUCGGACCUUUCGCGAUUGAAUGAGCCGAUGUCGGAUUAGCUAGUUGGCGGGGUAAAGGCCCACCAAGGCGACGAUCCGUAGCUGGUCUGAGAGGAUGAUCAGCCACACUGGAACUGAGACACGGUCCAGACUCCUACGGGAGGCAGCAGUGGGGAAUAUUGGACAAUGGGCGCAAGCCUGAUCCAGCCAUACCGCGUGGGUGAAGAAGGCCUUCGGGUUGUAAAGCCCUUUUGUUGGGAAAGAAAAGCAGCAGGUUAAUACCCCGCUGUUCUGACGGUAACCAAAGAAUAAGCACCGGCUAACUUCGUG